UUCAAAGCGAGUAGUUUCGUUUGGAUUUAUAUACAUUUAUUUUUCUCGUUUACCCUGUAUUUUGCAAAAGAGAAACUUAUCUGUAUGCAUUUUAAUACAUACGGCGAGUGUAUUGGAAAAUAAGAGGUUCGUCCGUAGCAGUAAUUUCGAUGAUCAUCGUAUUUAUUUCCACACACUGUUGCAGCGUGUUACGUCGGAAUCGUAUAUCUCGGAGGGAAGAGGAAACGUUGCCUACUACGACGAUUCUUUCGAGCUGACCAUGCAGACUCGUCAAGGACGAGGCGCUCUUUCAGCAAUGCUUAUCAAGACAAAGCGGAACGGUCUACGCUGUGGGAAUUAAGUAAU